GAUGAACGCUGGCGGCGUGCUUAACACAUGCAAGUCGAACGGAGAGAAAGUGCUUGCACUUUCUCUUAGUGGCGGACGGGUGAGUAACGCGUGGGUAACCUGCCCUAUGCAGGGGGAUAACAACGAGAAAUCGUUGCUAAUACCGCAUAAUAAAGAAGAGCUGCAUGGCUUUUCUUUCAAAGAUUUAUCGGCAUAGGAUGGACCCGCGUUGGAUUAGCUAGUUGGUGAGAUAACAGCCCACCAAGACGACGAUCCAUAGCCGGCCUGAGAGGGUGAACGGCCACACUGGGACCGAGACACGGCCCAGACUCCUACGGGAGGCAGCAGUGGGGAAUAUUGCACAAUGGGCGCAAGCCUGAUGCAGCGACGCCGCGUGAAGGAUGAAGGUCUUCGGAUUGUAAACUUCUAUCAGCAGGGAAGAAGGAGUGUCUUCGGACACUCUUGACGGUACCUGACUAAGAAGCACCGGCUAACUACGUGCCAGCCGCCGCGGUAA
rnacentral:rRNA from 1 species